rnacentral:rRNA from 1 species
CCUACGGGGGGCAGCAGUGGGGAAUAUUGGACAAUGGGGGCAACCCUGAUCCAGCCAUGCCGCGUGUGUGAAGAAGGCCUUCGGGUUGUAAAGCACUUUAAGUGGGGAGAUGCUACCCACAGAAUAAGCACCGGCUAACUCUGUGCCAGCAGCCGCGGUAAUACAGAGGGUGCAAGCGUUAAUCGGAAUUACUGGGCGUAAAGCGCGCGUAGGCGGCUGAUUAAGUCGGAUGUGAAAUCCCCGGGCUCAACCUGGGAACUGCAUACGAUACUGAUCGGCUAGAGUAUGAGAGAGGGAGGUAGAAUUCCACGUGUAGCGGUGAAAUGCGUAGAUAUGUGGAGGAAUACCGGUGGCGAAGGCGGCCUCCUGGUUAUACUGACGCUGAGGUGCGAAAGCGUGGGGAGCAAACAGGAUUAGAUACCCUUGUAGUC